CCUACGGGAGGCAGCAGUGGGGAAUAUUGCACAAUGGGGGAAACCCUGAUGCAGCGACGCCGCGUGAGUGAAGAAGUAUUUCGGUCUGUAAAGCUCUAUCAGCAGGGAAGAAAAUGACGGUAACUGAUUAAGAAGCCCCGGCUAACUACGUGCCAGCAGCCGCGGUCAUACGUAGGUGGCAAGCGUUAUCCGGAUUUACUGGGUGUAAAGGGAGCGUCGGCGGCAGCACAAGUCUGGAGUGAAAUGCCGGGGCUUAACCCCGGAACUGCUUUGGAAACUGUGCAGCUAGAGUGCAGGAGAGGUAAGUGGAAUUCCGAGUGUAGCGGUGAAAUGCGUAGAUAUUAGGAGGAACACCAGUGGCGAAGGCGGCUUACUGGACUGUAACUGACGUUGAGGCUCGAAAGCGUGGGGAGCAAACAGGAUUAGAUACCCUUGUAGUC
rnacentral:rRNA from 1 species